GACGAACGCUGGCGGCGUGCUUAACACAUGCAAGUCGAGCGGAAAGGCCCUUCGGGGUGCUCGAGCGGCGAACGGGUGAGUAACACGUGAGUAAUCUGCCCUUCACUUCGGGAUAACCGCCGGAAACGGUGGCUAAUACCGGAUGUUCACUACUGGUCGCAUGGCUGGUGGUGGAAAGUGUUCCAGCGGUGGUGGAUGAGCUCGCGGCCUAUCAGCUUGUUGGUGGGGUGUUGGCCUACCAAGGCUUCGACGGGUAGCCGGCCUGAGAGGGUGACCGGCCACACUGGGACUGAGACACGGCCCAGACUCCUACGGGAGGCAGCAGUGGGGAAUAUUGGACAAUGGGCGGAAGCCUGAUCCAGCAACGCCGCGUGAGGGAUGACGGCCUUCGGGUUGUAAACCUCUUUCAGCGUCGACGAAGCCGCGCUCUUGUGGGGUGUGGUGACGGUAGGCGCAGAAGAAGCACCGGCCAACUACGUGCCAGCCGCCGCUGUAAUAC
rnacentral:rRNA from 1 species